UGGGGAAUAUUGCACAAUGGGCGCAAGCCUGAUGCAGCCAUGCCGCGUGUGUGAAGAAGGCCUUCGGGUUGUAAAGCACUUUCAGCGAGGAGGAAGGUGGUGAGCUUAAUACGCUCAUCAAUUGACGUUACUCGCAGAAGAAGCACCGGCUAACUCCGUGCCAGCAGCCGCGGUAAUACGGAGGGUGCAAGCGUUAAUCGGAAUUACUGGGCGUAAAGCGCACGCAGGCGGUUUGUUAAGUCAGAUGUGAAAUCCCCGGGCUCAACCUGGGAACUGCAUUUGAAACUGGCAAGCUAGAGUCUCGUAGAGGGGGGUAGAAUUCCAGGUGUAGCGGUGAAAUGCGUAGAGAUCUGGAGGAAUACCGGUGGCGAAGGCGGCCCCCUGGACGAAGACUGACGCUCAGGUGCGAAAGCGUGGGGCAGCAAACAGGAUUAGAUACCCUGGUAGUCCAGCGCUGUAAACGAUGUCGAUUUUGGAGGUUGUGCCCUUGAGGCGUGGCUUCCGGAGCUAACGCGUUAAAUCGACCGCCUGGGGAGUACGGCCGCAAGGUUAAAACUU
rnacentral:rRNA from 1 species